AUCUUGUGUCUGUUUUUCUUUUCUCUGGCCAACAACACAGAGGAUAGUAGUUUAAAUACAAGAUCUGUUCCCCCUGAGGUCCUACGAGUUCUGUUCCCUCUGAGGUCCUACGAGAUCUGUUCCCCCUGAGGUCCUACGAGUUCUGUUCCCCCUGAGGUCCUACGAGUUCUGUUCCCUCUGAGGUCCUACAAGAUCUGUUCCCCCUGAGGUCCUAUGAGUUCUGUUCCCCCUGAGGUCCUACGAGAUCUGUUCCCCCUGAGGUCCUAUGAGAUCUGUUCCCCCUGAGGUCCUAUGAGAUCUGUUCCCCCUGAGGUCCUAUGAGAUCUGUUCCCCCUUAGGUCCUACGAGAUCUGGUCCCCCUGCACAGAGUUAUCUGGGUGUUUUCAUCAUUGAUCGCCUCAAACUUGAGAAAGGCUUGGAUGAUGACAGAUGAAAUGUUCAAGACUCACUCCUUCUCACAAUAAACCAGGAGUUUGCAAUAAUAAGUAGUAUGUAGUAGGGUGUAAACCAAUAGCGUCUCUGAAGUGUCCUGCUCACUGAUACACCCUGUCCAAUUUUCCUCUUAAUUUGUUUGUCUACUCCUCGCAUUCACUGCAUGCUUGUCGGCACUAGCUGCGCUCAUUAAGACAGCGUCUUUUAUCACCUGGAUGAAAUGGAAGCUACUCGUAACCUGCGCUCCUCCUUCUUGACCUACUUUGGCACAGGACUGCCCUCUUACGUGAUAUGUUACGUUCAUUUUAAUUUUCCUACCUGACACUAUUGGUAUUGAGACCAAAACUAAACAAACUCAAACAACUUAAAAUGGCACUAAAUAUUUGUCUUAACACACACAGCAAUACACACAGUAAUACACACAGCAAUACACAUGGUCGUGCGUGAAGGAGUUUGUAUGUUUGUGGCUGAAUGUUUUAAAAGCAGAUUGCAGGAAGUGAUGUAAUCAUCCUGUUGUUGAGGACUUGAUAUGAGAGAGAAAGGUGGUCGCCAUAGCUACAGUUAAAGUUGCCUAGGUAACCGGCCCCCUGAGGGCUCCACAGCUGUUACCAUGGAGUUGCCGUGGAGACAAGCCAUCGGCAGAGAGAGAUCCUGAUUAAAAAAAAAGUCUUUUUCUGU